AUGACGGCCGAGGGGACGGCGCGCGGCGGCGCCGGCGAGGCGCCCAAGGCGGAAUUGGCGGCGGCCAAGGCGGUCUCCCCGACCGGGGAGGAGCGCGAGGGGGUGGGCGGCCCCUUCGUGAUCGUCAACGGCGACUCCGACGGCCACUCGGACCCGGGCUCGGACACGGGCGCCGGGGCCGAGCCGGAUUCCCGCCCGGAGGAGGAGGAUCUGCCCCGGGCCAAUGCAGCCCCGGCUGCUGACGCGGGCGGAGACCACCCCACCGCCGGUGGGGAAUUGGCCGCUCCCGACGGCGCUGUCGGCCUUCCAUCCUCCAACGGGCAUGCUAGCCCCGCUCCGGUGGAGUCUGAGGCUGAUGGCGUGGGCGAAGUAGAAGGUGAGGGAAGCCACAAUUCUGAAGCUGGACCGAGGGACCAGGGCACUGCUGCCGCUGGAGAGCUUGAUGGUCAAGAUGCAGCAACAGAACUUAAGAUUGACCAUGCUGACGCUGGUGAUGAUUCUGCUCCACCUGCCGUGGAAUCCGUGCUUAAUGUCAAGGAUGGAGAAAGUGAAAAAGGUGCUGCCACUGAGGUUGUUGCUCCUGAAGAACAGCAGGAUGAAGAGAAGAAUGCUCCAGCGGAGAGUGGUUCAGAUAACCCCGCCACACAUGCUGAGUCUGGUUCCAUUGUCUUGGAUUCUGAGGGCAGUGGCGAGCAGAGCAAAGGAGAAGAGAUUGCUGCUGAGAUCAUGGAGCCAGGUACAGAUGGAUCAGGUAUCUCGGGGGUGACUGAACAGCAUGAUGCUGACACAAGUGUGACUGCCACUGAUCCUGUGAUUCACGUUGAUGAGGGCAAACAUGAGCAUGCUGCAGUCACAGAGCUGGUGGAGCAGGAUGGGAGCAACGGGCAUGACCAUGUUGAGCAGAUUGCUGAUUCUGGCACAUCUGCUCCUGAGAUAGAAGCUGAUGGGAGCAAAGGGCAGCAAGUAGAAGCACUGACGACUGAGCCUGAAGUAUUGGAUGGAGGCGAUUGUGAAGCGGCUUCUAAGGGACCUUCAGAAGAGGAAGUUGUUGCAAACGGGCUUGGCUGUGCCAAGGACACUGCUGACACUUCUUUGGAGCUUGAGGGAGAGAGCGAAGUUGCCUAUGGUGUGGUUGAAGUGGAGGACGUAGUAGGAAAGGAUGGUGAGGGGGAUUUGCAUGAUGGUCAUAUGGUUGUUGUCCCCUCAUCUGACGAGGAAGCAAAACCUCCCGCAAAGGAGGGUACAAAUGAGGCCAUUCCUGCUGAAGUUGUGAAGGAGGGAAUAAGCGAACAAAUUGUGCAAGAUAAUGAAUCCGUUGAGGAUGAUGUCUCUUCUGUCACACAUCAGUCAGUAAAUUCAGAAGCUCCAGUUGUUGAACCUAAGGGGGAUCACAUACUCCAGGUAGAAGAUGCCGCAGGUGAUGGAAACACUGCAGUUUCUGAUGUGAAGGCUGUCAUGUUGGAAAUGAACACAGCAGAUAGCGUUCAAACACCAGAUAUCAAGUGUGCAUCUGAAGACAGGAGUGUACCAUUGCAUGCGAAUUCGUCUGACCAAGUUGAGGAGGAGGUAAACAAAGAAGUGUCCCCUGAGGACGCACAUUUAGCCCAGAAUGAGCAGUUGGAAUUACCUGGCACUGGUGCAGCUGCAGCUGAUAAAAGUGACAAUGCUGUGGUAGAGGCAGAACCAGGUAAAGAGAUGGAGGUUGUUGAAGACGUUGCGUUGCAUGCGGCUGCAGCAUCUACUUUCCAUAAUGAGCCAAGGUCCAUUGAUUUCAUUGAUAACAAUUACGUAAAACCGGAUACUGAGUUGGAAAGUUGUGAUCAUGUACAAGCAGAGGAGUGUAAUUCUGAUGAAAUAUCUAGCACCGCUGUCGAUGAAGUUAUAUCUGGUGUUUCCAUGGAUCAUGGAACUGCUGUGACAGAUGACGCUGAACUCAGAUAUGAUACAGGAGGUGCAUCUCUUAGCGAAACUGCUGUUGAUCAAGGUGAAGCUGUCGCAUUGACUGAUAAUAAAGCUUCUGUUGUAGAUGAAGUUAAACCCUCUUCUGCCCCAGGAAGUGAAUCUGGUGAUGUUUCGCAAAUAGGCGAAUCACGUGAUUUGGUUACAGAUUGCCAAUCUAAUAAUGACCAGCCGGACAUUCUUGACGCAUCAACUACGCGCGAAGAGCUAGUUUCUCUGACUGAAUAUCCUUGCCUGCCAGUUGUUUCAUUGGAAUCUGGAGUUAAGGCUCCUCAUACGGACAAGGCGACCGCCACGUCAGAUGAGACAUCCAAAGAUACUGAAAAUAUAAAUGCAUGCAAUAUAUCUUCUACUGAGGUUGAAACCAAAUCUUUGGAAGUAGUGGAACCUUCAUCUGUUGACGGGGUAGUUCCAGUGGAACAUGAGAAUGAUGAUGAACAUGCACACAAAGGCAAGGAGAAGAUUGCUGAGGACUCCAGUGAGUCGCCUGUUGAACAGCCUGUUGAUCUUGAGAGUGACAAGGGAAAUAUACAGCUCAUGAGGCCACACAAGUUCUUCAUCGUAAAGGUUCCUAAACUUGCGGGCGAUGAUGUCUGGGCAAAGGUACAAGAUGCUCAAGUUCAUCUGGAUCGCCUGACUCAGGAAAGAGAUGCAAUUAAUGCUCGCAAGAAAAAGCAAAAGGCUGCCUUUGACGAGUAUCGGGAAAAGUUAGAGGCAGCACGGAAAGAAGAGGGUGAAGCGAGAGCUGCACAUGCUGGCAAGAGGAAUGUUCUUGAUGGUGUACGGUCAACUAUUGGGAAGUUGAAUCAAGCAACUUCAGUUGAAGAAAUUGAUGAGUUGAUCGUGAGGAAACAGAGGACUAUGGAACAUGAAACAAUUUCUUUGAAAGAAGAGAAGCUAUUCAUUAAAGAGAUUAAUGAUCUGAAAGCCCAAAGGAAGCAAGCGUGCUCCAAUAUGGGCUCAGAGGCUGAAAUGAGUGAAGCAUUCCAUCAAAAGGAUCACAUUCAUGAGCAACAUAAGACUUUGAAGAAGGAAGCAGAUUUACUUUUCAAAAAUCUGAAGUCCCUUGAGGAGAACAGAAAAAAGAUUCAAAAAUCUUUCGAGGAUGAAAGAGCUGCUCUCAGAAAGUUAAAUGAUGACUUGUAUGCUGCCAAUGAACUACGUCAACAGGCCUACGAGAAUUGGGUUGAGCUGAGAGGGGAACCGGGCAAGAAGAACAAGUACUUCUUCAUGUACAAGAAGGACCGCGAUGCUGCGGGCAAGCUCUUAUCAAGUGGUGACAUUGAUGGACUUCAGUCAUAUUGUAAUAAUCAGGUUGAGGGUUUUAUGGAGAUGUGGAACAAAGAUGAUGACUUCCGCAGGCUGUACGUUGAAGCAAACCAGAUUAGCACUCUGAGGAGAUUAGGUACCCAUGAUGGAAGAUCACUUGGUCCUGAUGAGGAGCCUCCCGUCAUUCCCAGUAACAAUUACAGUAGAAGACCCAACAAUCCAUCUCAACUCACUGUUUCAAGCCCAAACGUUCCCAUUACAACUAAAGAAGCAGCACCUGAAAAGUCUACUGCAGUUGUUGUCCCUGUAGAAGAGGAUUCCUUUCCUGUUUUACCACCAACCCAGACCCAUAAGCAGGCCAAACCAAAGGCAGCUGGUAGUGGUUCAUCCCAGAAAGAAAUAACCCCAGCUCCAGCUCCAGCUCCAGAGGUGGUAGAUGUCAAACAGAUUGAAAAGGAAAAGGCUCGUCUGGCGGAGGAGUUGGAGUUAGCAAGGAAGGCGGAGGAGUUGGCACGCAAGGAGGAGGAACUAAGAGCGCAGAGGGCUGCAGCUGAAAAGGAACGACUCCGCUUGGAGCAAAUAGCGAAAGCUAAGGAAGCUGAGGAAAGAAAGAAAAAGAAGGCAGAGAAGGCUCAGGAAAGGGCGGAGUUCAAAGCGCGCAAGGAAGCUGAGAUGAAGGAAAAGAAGAAAGCAAAGAAGUCUAAAAAGGUUGGCACUACACCAGCAGACUUAGCAAGUGGCCAGACCAACUCUGCAGCUAUACCUGCAGCAGACACUGAGAGCAACACACCCGAAAAUGGCAAGGAUCCUGAGGUUCCUCAACCACAACCCAUAAUCAUAAAGAGGAUCCCUAAACCAAUUGUGAGGCAGCUGCAGCCCAUGCCUGCUCCCCUGCGUAACAAGUUCAAAAGGAGAACGCGGCAGUACAUCUUCAUCGGAGUCGCAGUUGCCCUAGCUGUCGUCGCGUUGAUCCUGGCCGGCAGAACCUUAGACCUCCCUGGUCUAAGUUCUAUUCGCUUCUGA
rnacentral:rRNA from 1 species